rnacentral:tRNA from 1 species
UCCCUGGUGGCUCAGAGGUUAAAGCGUCUGCCUCCAACGCAGGAGACCCGGGUUUGAUCCCUGGGUCGGGAU